rnacentral:rRNA from 1 species
CCUACGGGAGGCAGCAGUAGGGAAUAUUGCUCAAUGGGGGAAACCCUGAAGCAGCAACGCCGCGUGGAUGAUGAAGGUUUUCGGAUUGUAAACCCCUUUUGUUAGAGAAGAUAAUGACGGUAUCUAACGGAUAAGCACCGGCUAACACCGUGCCAGCAGCCGCGGUAAUACGGAGGGUGCACGCGUUACUCGGAAUCACUGGGCGUAAAGAGGGCGUAGGCGGGGUAGUAAGUCAGAUGUGAAAUCCGACGGCUUAACCAUAGAACUGCAUUUGAAACUGUUAUUCUAGAGUAUGGGAGAGGUAGGUGGAAUUCUUGGUGUAGGGGUAAAAUCCGUAGAGAUCAGGAGGAAUACUCGUUGCGAAGGCGACCUGCUAGAACAUAACUGACGCUGAUGCGCGAAAGCGUGGGGAGCAAACAGGAUUAGAUACCCCAGUAGUC